CCUACGGGAGGCAGCAGUGGGGAAUAUUGCACAAUGGGCGAAAGCCUGAUGCAGCGACGCCGCGUGAGGGAUGACGGCCUUCGGGUUGUAAACCUCUUUCAGCAGGGAAGAAGCGAAAGUGACGGUACCUGCAGAAGAAGCACCGGCUAACUACGUGC
rnacentral:rRNA from 1 species